UUAGCCCUGGCCGACCUGGCACUUGGUCUGCAUACUAGGCUGGCCUUUGAACUCUGCCUGCCUCUGCCUCUCAAGUGCUAGGAUUAAAGGCAUGUGCCACCACUGCCCAGCUCAUGGAAGAGUAUGAUCUUGAGGCCAGCCUUUUCUACAGAGUGAGAUUCUGUCUUAAAACAAGAUGAGAAAAAGUGUACGCGCGUGUCCAUGCUCACUCAGGCACUCACAGAGAAUUCCUACCUGUGUUUUCUUCCCUGCUCCUUCCUGGUGGCUCCUGGAAACCAUGUUGUGAGCCCGACCACACUUCUCAGACCACAAAUGGGAACCUGGAGAAUCCAGUCCAACCAAGGUUCUUUCCCUGAGAAUUUGGAAGGACAGAGAGGUAGAGGCAGUAACCGCAGGUUCUGUAGCAUCCCACAGGGAGGGAUGAAGCAGCCACAGUCUGCAGUGUAUGUGGGCCGAGUGGGAAAGAAAGCCAAUCCUCUGAGAAGUGUGACAGCGCUCACUGAGACCUCAGAGUGCCGAGAGACUCCUUCCUGCCGCCUCUCAUUGCUAGUCAGCCCUGCAGUGUGACUGUGAACACUCACUCGCAGGUUCCGAGAGGCUCCUGAUGCGGCAUCCUCACUGUCAAGUUGACUAGAUCUGGUCACCCAGGAGACACUAUCUGGUGUGUCUGUGAAGGAGUUUCUAGAGAUGUGCGUCUAAGGAGGGAGACUGACUGACCCUGAACAUGGGUGGGGUCAUCCUAUGCCCUGGGGUCCCAGACUGAAUAAACAGGGAGAAAGAGAGUGUGCGCUCAGGGCUGUCUCUGCUUCCUGAUUGCAGACGCCACACAACCGGCUGCCCCAUGGUCCUACCAGCAUGCCUCCCUGACCAUGAUGGACUGGACUCUUCACUUGUGAGCCAAAAUAAAAACCCUCCCUUCUUAAGUUCACUUUGUCGAGAAUUUUGUCAUCACGACAUAAGUAUCGUGUUUGUGUAGUGCCGGCAGAGGGCAGAAGAAGGCUUUGCACCCCCUGGAAUGUCAUGUGGAUGGUAGGAACCAAAGCUGGAUCCUCUGCAAGAACAGCAAGUGCUCUUAACCACUGAGUCAUCUCUCCAGCCCUGAAUUCUGCAUUCCUCACAAACUCUAAGAUGAAGUCCUU